CAGUGCGGCUGCUAUAAUGCAAGUCGUACGCUUCUUUUUCCACCGGAGCUUGCUCCACCGGAAAAAGAAGAGUGGCGAACGGGUGAGUAACACGUGGGUAACCUGCCCAUCAGAAGGGGAAACACUUGGAAACAGGUGCUAAUACCGUAUAACAAUCGAAACCGCAUGGUUUUGAUUUGAAAGGCGCUCCUCCCCUGUCGCUGAUGGAUGGACCCGCGGUGCAUUAGCUAGUUGGUGAGGUAACGGCUCACCAAGGCCACGAUGCAUAGCCGACCUGAGAGGGUGAUCGGCCACAUUGGGACUGAUACAUGCCCAACCUCCUACGGGAGGCAGCAGUA
rnacentral:rRNA from 1 species